rnacentral:rRNA from 1 species
GACGAACGCUGGCGGCGUGCUUAACACAUGCAAGUCGAACGGUGAAGGAGAGCUUGCUCUCCGGAUCAGUGGCGAACGGGUGAGUAACACGUGGGCAACCUGCCCCAGACUUCGGGAUAACGCUUCGAAAGAGGUGCUAAUACCGGAUACGAACUCCUCGGGCAUCCUUGGAGUUGGAAAGUUUUUCGGUCUGGGAUGGGCCCGCGGCCUAUCAGCUUGGUGGUGAGGUAACGGCUCACCAAGGCGACGACGGGUAGCCGGCCUGAGAGGGCAACCGGCCACACGGGGACUGAGACACGGCCCAGACUCCUACGGGAGGCAGCAGUGGGGAAUAUUGCGCAAUGGGCGAAAGCCUGACGCAGCAACGCCGCGUGAGGGAUGACGGCCUUCGGGUUGUAAACCUCUUUCAGCAGGGAAGAAGCGAAAGUGACGGUACCUGCAGAAGAAGCACCGGCUAACUACGUGCCAGCCGCCGCAGUAA